rnacentral:rRNA from 1 species
UACAGAGGGUGCGAGCGUUGUUCGGAAUUACUGGGCGUAAAGCGCGCGCAGGCGGUCUUCCAAGUCAGUGGGUGAAAGCCCCGGAGCUCAACUCCGGAACUGCCAUUGAAACUGUUAGACUUGAGGACGAGAGAGGUGAGUGGAAUUCCCAGUGUAGAGGGUGAAAUUCGUAGAUAUUGGGAAGAACACCGGUGGCGAAGGCGGCUCACUGGCCCGGUACUGGACGCUGAGGGUGCGAAAGCGUGGGGAGCAAACAGG